UACAUCAAAUUCACUGGGUGUCAGAAUCACUACUGAGACAAGAAGAGGCUGUAAGUACUGCACGUAUUACUGAUGAGGGUGGUACUAGCCAAAACCACAUGCCAUAUCUAAGAAUACCCCACAGCAAUCCACAGAAUAUCAAAGAUCAUUGAUGCUGUACUUUGGAAAAUACAACAGUUUUUAAAAUGGGAUAUGACAGCCAAGAAGAAGUCUGUACCCAUCAAACUGACAUUCAUUAAUGCAGAAAAUGAGGUAAUUAUCCAGGCCUUAUGUCACCAUGGAGUUUUCAUGUUAGGAAGAGGAGACCAAUCAGCCUGAGACAAGAUAUGCAGCAGGUGGCUAAUAACAUCAAUGCUGUCAGAUGGCAUGGGAAAAUUUACUCCCAAAUAUGACACAGAUCCAGUGAUAUGAGAACCCCUGCCUGCCACAGGGCAGCUGCAGUUGCCUGGGAACAGGUGGCUACAGAAGGUGGUCCUGCUACUGAACCAACACUAACUGAAACAGAGGAGUUCCUGUCCACUGUCAGAGAUCCAGAUAGCUUGGCACAAAGUUCAGACAGAAUCUGUGAUGUUGGUGUUGAAGUAGAUGACAGACUCAGUGUGUCUCAAACGGUACUUCCAGGUGAUCCUGACAGCGGCACUGUGGGACUCCUAUCACCUAAUGUCAGAGUAUAGGUAGCCUCUGAGAAAAGUGAAUAUUCUGAGAAAUGGCAUUUCAGACUUAGCAUACAUAUCUUCAUUCAUUCAGCCAUUCAGUCUCCAUAUUUCAGGACUCACUCUAGCCAACACAGUCACUUUUUCCAGUUGCAGUAUAGCUAAGUAUCCAGCUACCAUUCUGUGGCAAAGGGUGGAGCUCUGUACAUAUUCUUUGGUAACACUUGAAAGGUCUGCUGUCUACCAUUCUAAGGUAAAAGAAAAUUCAGCUUUGCUGUCCUAUGCUACUGCAACUGAGAAGAAGGCAUUGGUUAAGUGCAUGAUAUAGUCCAGCAACUAAAGAUAAUAUUUUCUUCAUGAUGGUCACAUUGUCAGAACAGUGGCUGCUAGUGUUGUUGCAACUCAAUUCAGGCCUUUGUAGUCUAUUGUCAUCCUCCAUGAUCCAUCAGGCCUCUUCACUGGCUACACAGAACUGCUUAAAUAUGAACUUUAUUAUGUUGUUUCUGAUAUUGAAUGUUAAUAAAACUGUUAAUAUUGUAACUCUAGAAGCUGUAGUAUUAACUUUGACUACAAUAAAUGCCUGCAAUGUUAGCUUUAAUUGCAAUGCAGAAUCAUACAAGUUAGUGCUGCAGAAUCAUAUAUAUUCCUAGUUUGCUUAUGACAGGUAUGAGCCUCAAGCACAGGCAAAGUGUGUUAGUCCCUGCAAUGUCUACUGAAAAUUGUUCUGUAUGGUUUGACAUUGUGCAAAAUGGUUUAUGUAACUAGUUUGCAACACAGAUGUAAUCAUUAAGAAGGUGCACCAGUGGCUUCGCUUCUUGUGAAGGUUGAGAAGAGAAAACCUACCAUCAAUGGCUCUUACAACCUUCUACAGGGGCACCAUCGAAAGUAUACUGACAAACAGCUUUACAGUAUAGUAUGGAAGCUGCUCUGCUUCCAAGCAACAGUCCCUCCAGAUGGUAGUGAAUGUGGCUGGGAGGAUUAUCAGGAACUCCCUCCUGUUCAUAUAAAACCUGCACAUGUCCAGAUGUCUUAGCAGGGCAAAGAAAAUAACCAGGGAUAGCACUCAUCCUGCUUACAAGCUGUUCUCACAUUUAACAUCAGGAAAGCACUUUUGAUGCAUAUGCUGUAAAACCACAAGAUUCAGAAACAGCUUCUUUCCACUAGCCAUCAGAUUACUGAACUCUUAGAACAGUACCCUUCACACUGGACCUUAAGGCAGUAAUCCAACAAUAUUGAAAAGUCUCUACAGUGCAAUAUAUAACAAGGACUUACCCACACCCAGACAGCAAAGUCAGCAGUAAUUAAACUGUACUGUAAAAAUAACAAUAUAAAUGUAGGCCUUAAAUCAAUCACUUAAGUUAAAAGUUUCCAGUGAAAAUAAGCUAAUAACCUAGUAAUGAGUGACAAGCUGUUAAAUCAGUACAAUAAUGCAAGUAUUUAUUAUUGUUGUGUUUGUCAUCUGUGUCUAUAGAAUUUUUGUGUAUUAUUGUCAUGCUAAAUGUAGUCUAUGUAUUGUAUGCACACUGAAUCCGAAGAAACAUAAUUUUGCUCGGUUCGCACUUGUGUAAAUUGAAGUGACAAUAAAGUUUACUUUGAUUUAUUACAUUUAAGUUCAAUGCUUUAAGAGCACAGACAUCUGUACUGGAAUCAGGGGUGGAGGGAACACUAGUCACCAGGGAUGUAUUUCAUUUCAGUGCCUUAACAGCACAAGCAAUAAUACAGGGAAAGGGGGUGGGGGGAACACUAGCCACCAGGAAUUACUCAAAAGACUUGUGCUAUAAUGGAGUGUAAAGCAGUACUGAGAUCAGAGGUGGAGGAAUCGCUAUCCACCAGGGACUAUUCAACAUUAAAUUGCCACAACAGCACUGACUUCUAGACAGGCAUCGGAGUGGGAGUGAAUCAUGGGAGGACGAGCAAUUCAGGAACAGGUACAGGUACUGUGGUCUAUGUGUCUUUGUGUUUUGUGCACUUGUGCGUCUGUGACUGUGACUGGGAAAGUCAAUGCCUGCACAAGCAGCAAUGUACUGUUCUGAAUUGCAUGUCAUGGUAGUAACUUUGAUUCAGAGACAUUCAAAUUAGAUGAUAGUAAGAUCUUAUCAUGUUACUGCUAUCAUGUCUCUGAAUCUCAGAACACAUCAUUGUGGGGGAAGGGCAUUUAAUAACCCCCCAGAAGAAAUAUUGAACUGAAUUGUUUUAAUUAAUAUUGGUAGAGUCUAAAACAAGAAUGCACAGUCUGCAGUUGAGAACCAUCACCUGCCACUUUUGCCUUAAUUAAAAAUGAUUGCACAUGAUUUUUAAGGAUUGUCAUUUGUUGUAGUAUCAUUUAAUCUUUGAAAAUGUAUUUUCUAACAUGAAAGCUUGCCCAUGUUGUAAGCUAUUUAUUUUUAUUUUAUCAAAUGAAGUCUGUCUGUGGUUAAAGCUCAUUUUUGAUUUGUUUGCUUCUUUUGAAAUUGGAUUUGUCUGUACAGAGAAGCAUUGUUGGAUUUUUUGUUCUCUGAAAUAUUCACAUUUGGAGUUUUUUUUUUUUUAAAGAGUUGUUUGUUAAUUCACACUUGGAAGACCAAGGACAGUAAAUUAUAUCUGUCAGAAUGAUAGUGGAAUGACAUCAUUGUAAGAAUCAAACUCUGUACCUAGUGUUUGUAAGGUAAACACCUUAACCAUUACACCAAUCCCCUCUAAAAAAAAAAUCUAUACACCUGGUUGUUAUCUAACCACAACUAAAUUAUACAGUUUAUAGCUUGCUCUACAAGUUUCAUGAGAUAUAAGUACUAUCACUGUUAGUGCUUCAGAAAUACUCAGAAUAAGAUCUUUAAACAUUGCCUGCC